UGGGGAAUUGUUCGCAAUGGGCGCAAGCCUGACGACGCAACGCCGCGUGGAGGAUGAAGAUUUUCGGAUCGUAAACUCCUGUCGAAUGGGACGAAUAGGUCACGGCUUAAUACUCCGUGAUCCUGACGGUACCGUUAAAGGAAACCCCGGCUAACUCCGUGCCAGCAGCCGCGGUAAUACGGGGGGGGUAAGCGUUGUUCGGAAUUACUGGGCGUAAAGGGCUCGUAGGCGGCCAACUAAGUCAGACGUGAAAUCCCUCAGCUUAACUGGGGAACUGCGUCUGAUACUGGAUGGCUUGGAUUCGGGAGAGGAAUGCGGAAUUCCAGGUGUAGCGGUGAAAUGCGUAGAUAUCUGGAGGAACACCGGUGGCGAAGGCGGCAUUCUGGACCGAUAUUGACGCUGAGGAGCGAAAGCCAGGGGAGCAAACGG
rnacentral:rRNA from 1 species